rnacentral:rRNA from 1 species
CGGUAACGCGUAUGCAAUCUACCUUUUACAGGGGAAUAGCCCAGAGAAAUUUGGAUUAAUGCCCCAUGGUGUAUUUGAGUGGCAUCACUUGAUCACUAAAGUUCCAACGGUAAAAGAUGAGCAUGCGUCCCAUUAGCUGGAUGGUAAGGUAACGGCUUACCAUGGCUACGAUGGGUAGGGGUCCUGAGAGGGAGAUCCCCCACACAGGUACUGAGACACGGACCAG